UCUGGGCGUAAGCGUGCGCAGGCGGUUAUGUAAGACAGAUGUGAAAUCCCCGGGCUCAACCUGGGAACUGCAUUUGUGACUGCAUGGCUAGAGUGCGGUAGAGGGGGAUGGAAUUCCGCGUGUAGCAGUGAAAUGCGUAGAUAUGCGGAGGAACACCGAUGGCGAAGGCAGUCCCCUGGACCUGUACUGACGCUCAUGCACGAAAGCGUGGGGAGCAAACAGGAUUAGAUACCCUGGUAGUCCACGCCCUAAACGAUGUCAACUGGUUGUUGGGAAUUAGUUUUCUCAGUAACGAAGCUAACGCGUGAAGUUGACCGCCUGGGGAGUACGGCCGCUAGGUUG
rnacentral:rRNA from 1 species